rnacentral:rRNA from 1 species
GACGAACCGUGCGAACGUUGUUCGGAAUCACUGGGCUUAAAGGGCGCGUAGGCGGGCCACCAAGUCAGGGGUGAAAUCUUUCGGCUCAACCGGAAAAGUGCCUUUGAUACUGGUGGCCUCGAGGGAGGUAGGGGUCUGCGGAACUUCCGGUGGAGCGGUGAAAUGCGUAGAUAUCGGAAGGAACGCCGGUGGCGAAAGCGGCGGACUGGACCUCUUCUGACGCUGAGGCGCGAAAGCGUGGGGAGCAAACGGG